UACGUAGGGGGCAAGCGUUGUCCGGAAUCAUUGGGCGUAAAGAGCGUGUAGGUGGCGCCGUAAGUCGGGUGUGAAAUCUCGGAGCUUAACUCCGAAACUGCAUUCGAUACUGCCGUGCUUGAGGACUGGAGAGGAGACUGGAAUUUACGGUGUAGCGGUGAAAUGCGUAGGUAUCGUAAGGAAGACCAGUGGCGAAGGCGGGUCUCUGGACAGUUCCUGACGCUGAGGCACGAAGGUCAGGGGAGCAAACGGG
rnacentral:rRNA from 1 species